UACGUAGGGACCAAGCGUUGUUCGGAUUUACUGGGCGUAAAGCGUGCGUAGGUGGUUUGUUAAGUCUGAUGUGAAAGCCCUGGGCUCAACCUGGGAAUUGCAUUGGAUACUGGCAGGCUAGAGUGCGGUAGAGGAUGGCGGAAUUCCCGGUGUAGCAGUGAAAUGCGUAGAGAUCGGGAGGAACAUCUGUGGCGAAGGCGGCCAUCUGGACCAGCACUGACACUGAGGCACGAAAGCGUGGGGAGCAAACAGG
rnacentral:rRNA from 1 species